GAAAGGCUAGGUAGGGAGCGAGCGAAGGCUCCGUCCCGUCGUAGUGUGGGAAAAGCAGACAGGCCCCUUUUCGUCUACCCGCGCAGGCCCUUAUUGAUUCGCUUUACGGCGGGAGGAGCCGGACUGCAGCUAUGGCUAUAACCGUCUGUGGAGAUUCUCAGUCAUCCAGGUCGUGGUUGUCCCAAAGGUAGGUUCCUGGGUCUGGCUAAUCUCCAUGUGGACCCUGUGGGAGGAGCUUAAGAGAAUGCCAUAUACCGUAUUUUUUGGACUAUAAGAGUAUAAGACGCACCAAGAUUUCGAAGAGGAAAACAAGAAAAAAAAGUUUUUGGCCUUCGUGUGUCCAGUUUUUGCCCUCCCCGACCCCCAGGAGCACUCUGCAGGCCUCCCAAACCCUCUGUGCAAAAAACAGGCCCGUUUUUCAUGGAAAACGGGUGAUGCACCGACAUUUCUACCCUCUUUUGGGGGGGAAAGUGUGUCAGUGGUGGGUUGAUACUGGUUCGGUCUGGAUCUUGCGAACCGGUAGUAACGGCAGCGGGAGGCUCCACCUACCCGCCUGGACAUCAUCACAGAUGCUAUGCGCAUGUGCAGAAGUGCGCACGCUCCAAUUGCAAAUCGGUAGCGAAGUUGAACUGCCUCAAGGACACUACAUACACGUAAGGAUUCUUAUUGGGUGCCCAAAAUUCAGUGAAAAUCACUGCAGUGAAAAUCAUUGCAGAGGAAGCCUUGGUAGUACAGUGGUCUAAGGCACCCUGUUAUUAAGCUGGUUAUUAAGACCAGCUGCCUGCAAUUACUGCAGGUUCGAAUCUCGCCAAGGCUCAAGGUUGACUCAGCCUUCCAUCCUUUCUAAGGGUGUCUGCCCAGUACAAUGUGAUUUUGGUGAGUUGGUUUCCACCAGGCUUCUAUUCCUUUUUUCCCUGAAUUGACUCUAUACAUUUACUUUACUUUACUUUACUUUUAUUUGAUUUCUAUACCGCCCUACUCCCGAAGGACUCAGGGCGGUGCACAGCCAACAAUAAAAUACAUACAUACAAAAUUUAAAAAGUCCCUGAUCCUGUUGGUCUAAACUUCCUUCUUUUUGGUGAUACUGAAAGGCAUUAUUUUUAUUUGCCCUGUAGCAUCAAAGGGGGGAUUAAAUGACAUGGGUUUUGUAAUUUGUUAACUAACAUAGUUACUUUGUAUUUUAAUUUGAUUUAUUUUCUCGCUUUUAAAAUGAUAUCAGGUUUGUUAGCUUUUAACAUUCCUAAACUGAUAAACAAGCUGGAGACUAGCUCCAGAUAAGAAAAAGUUUGUUAGUACAAAUUGGGGAUUUUUUUGUGAACUCCAAACAACCUUUUCCCUUACAAUUACACCCCUUCUGAUGUCAGACCUCAUUUUAAUGAACAUCUGUGAUAUUGUGGGAUGCAAAUAUGUAACAUGUUUGACUGCAUGUAACUGAUUGCCUGUGCAAAGGGAAAGUUACUUUUACCCUGUCCAAUCAACUUUCCUCUUGCAUUUUCUUUGUUGUUUUAACUAUAAAAAGGAAUGAAACAUGGGGCUCAGGGUUCUCUCUUCCUUUUUCAUAGACAGAUCCCACUUUAUCAGGGUACCCUAAUAAACUGCUUUUAAAUGAUCUUCCAACUCAGCUGCUUAUUGAGAAGGUAAACUGAGGCAGAACCUAGGGCCAGAUUUGGCUUUCAACAUGCUUUGAUUACUGCUGGAUUUCUAGUACUGUAUUGGUAUCCUCACUAUUUUCAAGUUAGUAGAAGUGUUAGAAUCUCAGUGGAAAUUCUACAGUGGAAUGAAAUUCAUUUAUUGGAUUUAUAUUUUUUCAUGAUUAAAUGAUUAAAUACUGUGCUAGUACAAUAAGCUACUGUGCUAAUACAAUAAGCUACUAAGCUUGUAAAAUUUAUUGUCUUGGGAGUAGGCAUAGGUUAAUGAUCUUUUUUCAUAAUGCAUAAAAAAACAUUCCAAAUAACCUAGAUUUGAGUUAUGCUACACUUUUUCCGCCUUCAUUAUGCUAUUGUGAUCUAUUUAUUUCCUUUCUCCCUAACUUUAAAUACAUAUAAAUCUUUCAGAGCAGUAAAUUUAUGAUGAAACAAUGCCUAAGUGGAACAACCAAAGAAAAGAAACAUAAUUAAAAUGCUUUGUGGAAUGCGGUCUCUUCGGAAUCUGGUUGUCCCCAAUCCAGUUAGUGUUUUGUAAGGCUCUGCAGUCCUGGUUGUUUCCUCAGGGUUCAGGCAAGGAAGCUAGGCAAGCUCGUUUGAUGAUGAGAUGUUAUGAUUGGAAUGUUUUGUGUGUCUUGGACAUCCUGGCCUUUAACUAUUGAGUUUUUAAUCUUUGUAUACCAUUGAUUGUUUAUGUGCCGUCAUGUCGUUUUGGAUUCCUUGUGAUGACUGUACAGAUAGAUCUUCUCCAUGAUGAUCUGUCCUUAACCUGGUCUUUUAGGUCCUGCAAUGGUGCUCAUAAAUAUUAUAACUGAGCCCAUCCACCUCAAGGCUGAUAGUUUUCCCUCUUCUCUUUCUUUUCACUUUUUCCUGAUUUGGACACUUUUCUAGAGAAUUUUAUCUUUGCAUAAUGAGUCCAAAAUAGCAUAAUUUGAGCUUGGUUGUUUGCACCUCAAGUAAGAAAUCUGGGUCGAUUUGUUAGAUAAUCCAUAAUCCAAAAUUUCCUUUCUUGGCUGUCCAUGGUAUUCUUGGGAAUCUUCUCCGUCAUCGAAGUUCAAAGGCUUAAAUUCUUAAAUCUGGUUUCUUCCAAGUCCAACUUUUACUUCUGUAGACUGUCAUGGGCAUAUUUUGGCUUGCACGAUUCUAUCUUUAUAGGCAUAGAUACCUCAUGGCAUUUCAAUAUCUUUUCUGAGGCCUUCAUAACUUCUUAUGUAAUAUAUAACAAUAACAGAGUUGGAAGGUACCUAGGAGGUCUGUUAGUCCAACCCCCUGCUCAAGCAGGAGACCCUAUUCCAUUUCAGACAAAUGGCUGUCCAAUCUCUUCUUUAAAACCUCUAGUAAUGGAGCACCACAACUUCCGAAGACAAGCCAUACUGAUUAAUCGUUCUAACUGUUCCUUGUUCCUACUGUAAUUCUAUCUUUGCAGCUUCAGAUUUACUUUUCCUGUAUGGCAUCAUCAGCAACUAGGCAUCUCAAAGGCUUUCAUUUAGCAACAUUAUAAGCACCAUUAGAACUCUGAAAGAGCUUCAGCAAUUCCCCAGUAGCUUGUUGAAUACCAUUUGACCUGAGGGGCUCAUCAGUCAGCACUAUAUUGUGAAUCAUUUUAUAUUUUCUAUCCAUGUAGUUUUCUUGGUAAAAAUACAGGAGGGCCUUACUAUUGCCUUCUCCUGCACAGUUAAAAUUGAUGCCUUUGCCAUUGUCACUAAAGGGAUCAUCUGCCUCCAGCAUCUUCCAAUAUCGCAGCUGUCCAAUAUAGGUUCCUGUCGCUCUAGCUGGGUAGCUGGGAUGACUUUGACACCUUGAGUGACCCUGCUGGGUAUCUGUAGUCUUGAUAUAUACUCCUGACGUUCUUUAUUUAUUCCUCCCAGGAAUGCUUACUCAUACACAUAUGUACAAACUGCCUGUCAGCCUGACCGUCUUAGCUUCCCUUCAAGCUUGCUGCCAGCUGCCAUGGAAACAGAGGGGGGAGCAAUGAGUAUUUGGGAGGGGAAGCGUGCAGGAGAUGUAAGAAUGGGUUUUCUGAGAAGAGAUGGGGAAGAUCUGAUCUCAGACAAGCCAGCUUGGGUUGUUUAUCAUCUUCAAGGCCAACUAUCUUGGGAAAGCCAGGCAGAAAGGAGGACUGGUGCACCUGGACCAGAGGCAUUCCCAAAACAUCUUCCUGGCCGACGAUUAAACUCUAGUUGCUUGGCUACUGGGCUCUGGAGUUAUUUUCAAUUUGUCUUUUCACGUGUGUUGGCUUCAGACCUUGCCUGGCUUUUGCUGCAAUCAACUCUUUCCUAGUAAAAGUAUCUUUUCUCUGAA